GUACGAACCGCAAGUUUUGAACGUCUGUUUAUCGCACCAUCGAAAGCGGCGGCACAGCAGGCGCGAUGUGAGCUCCGGUGGGAACAGCAGCCCUUUGUCUCGUAACGGUGCCGUCCAGACUGGCCAUGAGACCAGCGAAUUUGCUGUAGAAACAGCCAUCUGGGAGUGGCUGCGUCACGCUCCUGCCAGGCACAGAACUGCCAUUGCUAAGGACUGUGCCACUGAACAGCGCGGAUAUGUGUGACAUGGUUCCCUCAGCCUGUUGUACCUUUACCUAUCACCCGCGGCAUCUAGCUGCCAGUGUGACCUUGCUUUCUUCAGCGCUGUGCCACUGAACAGCCCGGACAUGUGUGACGUGGUCCCCUAGGCCUGCUGUAUUUUCACCUAUCACCCGUGGCGUCUAGCUUCAGUGUGCCGAGUUGUCUAAAACUGCCAAGUGCUUUAUGAUGUCACCAAUGUGCCAAUUGCUCUAGUACUGUUAUGUGCUUCGCCACUGCCAUGCGCUCUCCACGUCUCUAGUAUAUAAAGUGUCCCAUCGCGUCUCCAUUUGCGAAGUGCAUUACCAAGUCACCAAGUGCUCCAGUACUAUGUUAUGUGCUCCGCCGCUGUGCCGAGUGCUCUCCGUUUCUGCAGUAUACCAAGUGCCCAAUUGCGUCUCCAUUUUACCAAGUGCUCCAAUAUUGUCAAAUGCUUGACCC